rnacentral:misc_RNA from 1 species
GAUGAAGAACGCAGCGAAAUGCGAUAAGUAAUGUGAAUUGCAGAAUUCAGUGAAUCAUCGAAUCUUUGAACGCACAUUGCGCCCGCCAGUAUUCUGGCGGGCAUGCCUGUUCGAGCGUCAUUUCAACCCUCAAGCCCCAGCGGUUUGGUGUUGGGGACCGGCGAGUACAGAGGCUUUGGGGACUUGUCCCCCUUCCCUCGGCGCCGCCCCCGAAAUGAAUUGGCGGUCUCGUCGCGGCCUCCUCUGCGUAGUAGCACAACCUCGCAUCAGGAGCGCGGCGCGGCUACUGCCGUAAAACGCCCAACUUUUUUUAAGAGUUGACCUCGAAUCAGGUAGGAAUACCCGCUGAACUUAAGCAUAUCAAUAAGCGGAGGA